rnacentral:misc_RNA from 1 species
UUUCCGUAGGUGAACCUGCGGAAGGAUCAUUACCGAGCAAGGGCCCUCUGGGUCCCACCUCCCCCCCGUGUCUCUUGUACCUCGUUGCUUCUGCGGUCCCGCCUCACGGCCGCCCGGGGGCAUCUCCCCCCCGGGCCCGCGCCCGCCGAAGACACCCACGAACUCUGUCUGAAGCGUGCAGUCUGAGUAAAAUGAUAAAUUAUUUAAAACUUUCAACAACGGAUCUCUUGGUUCCG